AUACGGAGGGGGCUAGCGUUGUUCGGAAUUACUGGGCGUAAAGCGCGCGUAGGCGGUUUAUCAAGUUAGGCGUGAAAGGCCUGGGCUCAACCCGGGAAUUGCGCUUAAUACUGGUAGACUUGAGUCCGGGAGAGGGUGGCGGAAUUCCCAGUGUAGAGGUGAAAUUCGUAGAUAUUGGGAAGAACACCAGUGGCGAAGGCGGCCACCUGGCCCGGUACUGACGCUGAGGUGCGAAAGCGUGGGGAGCAAACAGGAUUAGAAACCCCAGUAGUCC
rnacentral:rRNA from 1 species